AUUUUGGAGUGUUUCUGUGGGAAUGCUUGCCCAUUCAUCCAGUAGAGCAUUUGUGAGGUCAGGCACUGAUGUUGGACGGCAAGGCCUGGCUUAUAGUCUCUGUUCCAGUUAACCUCAAAGGUAUUCGAUGGGGUUGAGGUCAGAGCUCUGUGCGUGCCAGUCAAGUUCUUCCAAACUCAUUCAAUCUUUAUGAACCUUGUUUUGUGCACUGGGGCACAGUCAUG